AGAACUUAGCAGAGAUGCUUUGGUGCCUUCGGGAACUCUGAGACAGGUGCUGCAUGGCUGUCGUCAGCUCGUGUUGCGAAAUGUUGGGUUAAGUCCCGCAACGAGCGCAACCCUUAUCCUUUGUUGCCAGCGGUUAGGCCGGGAACUCAAAGGAGACUGCCAGUGAUAAACUGGAGGAAGGUGGGGAUGACGUCAAGUCAUCAUGGCCCUUACGAGUAGGGCUACACACGUGCUACAAUGGCGCAUACAAAGAGAAGCGACCUCGCGAGAGCAAGCGGUCCUCAUAAAGUGCGUCGUAGUCCGGAUUGGAGUCUGCAACUCGACUCCAUGAAGUCGGAAUCGCUAGUAAUCGUGGAUCAGAAUGCCACGGUGAAUACGUUCCCGGGCCUUGUACACACCGCCCGUCACACCAUGGGAGUGGGUUGCAAAAGAAGUAGGUAGCUUAACCUUCGGGAGGGCGCUUACCACUUUGUGAUUCAUGACUGGGGUGAAGUCGUAACAAGGUAGGCGUAGUGCU
rnacentral:rRNA from 1 species